rnacentral:rRNA from 1 species
UUGGAGGGCAAGUCUGGUGCCAGCAGCCGCGGUAAUUCCAGCUCCAAUAGCGUAUAUUAAAGUUGUUGCAGUUAAAAAGCUCGUAGUUGAAUUUCGGGGUCAAUACGUCGGUCGUGCCAUCGGUACGCACUGGGGUCGUUGAUUCCUCCCUUCUGAUGAACCAUGAUGUCAUUAAUUUGGUGUCGUGGGGAGUCAGGACCGUUACUUUGAAAAAAUUAGAGUGUUUAAAGCAGGCACACGCUUGAAUACAUUAGCAUGGAAUAAUGAAAUAGGACGUUUGACCCUAUUUUGUUGGUUUCUAGGAUCGACGUAAUGAUUAAUAGGGAUAGUUGGGGGCAUUAGUAUUCAAUUGUCAGAGGUGAAAUUCUUGGAUUUAUUGAAGACUAACUACUGCGAAAGCAUUUGCCAAGGAUGUUUUCAUUAAUCAAGAACGAAAGUUAGGGGAUCGAAGACGAUCAGAUACCGUCGUAGUCUUAACCAUAAACUAUGCCGACUAGGGAUCGGAUGAUGUUAAUUUUUUAAUGACUCAUUCGGCGCCUUACGGGAAAC